rnacentral:lncRNA from 10 species
CGACUCAGUUGUGUGGCCAGUGGGCCUCGUCUCUUCAUCUCCCAGGUGACUCCAGGAGGCUCAGCUGCCCGGGCUGGGCUGCAAGUGGGAGACGUGAUUCUGGAAGUGAACGGGUAUCCUGUUGGGGGACAGAAUGACCUGGAGAGGCUUCAGCAGCUGCCUGAGGCUGAGCCACCCCUCUGCCUGAAGCUGGCAGCCAGGUCUCUGCGGGGCUUGGAAGCCUGGAUUCCCCCUGGGGCUGCAGAGGACUGGGCUCUGGCCUCGGAUCUACUGUAGAGCACCCCUGCUUGGUACAGACAUACUCAGGGGCUACCGUGUCUUCACUCUCCAGCCUGAGGUGGUGAAGGCAGGAUGCUCUCUCUAAGCCAGACCAGAGGGACUCAGACACCACCGAUCACAGGCUGGCCCAGGUGCUCCCUCCCUUCCUGCAGGCCCACCUGCCAGCAGAGGGUGUGGUUGGAGGCCUCAGACAGGUCCCUGAAGGAGUCUGAGGCUCCAGAGGAUGUCAUAUGGGAGUUUUAGAGAGCUGUGUCCCAAGGAUGAAGGUGUGGCUGUGGGUCUGGCUAGGAUUGAAGCCAUCUGGACCUUUUCUAGAUAUGACUCCAGGACCCUUGAGUGUAAUGCAAAAAUUUGGAGACCAGCUAUGCCUGCCCUCUGUGGGUGCCUUAGCAUUGCGGGAGGGUGGUGCUUGGUCACCGUUGCAUUUGUUAUAGAAAUGGCCAUUCGCCAUAAAUCUGACUGCCUGUGUUUGUGUUGGUGGGGGUAAGGGGCAGUGGUGUGAAGGGACCAAAAGGGCCUCAGGCUCAAGGGGUGGGAUGCGGCUCCUGCAGGAGAGAGGUUGAGACCUGGUCAAAUUUAUUUCCUAUCAAUCACUGAAUCUCAGGGAUAAUGGGUCAACCCAGAACUGAGAUGUCUGUAUGACAGCCACUCCUAAAAAUAAACAACAACAAAAACAAAAAAAGAAGAAAACU